CACAAGGCUGCUCGAGUAGGGCCUUUGUCAGUCAGAGCUGCACUCCUGCUCCAUGACACACACAUGCUCCAAGCACAGCGAGUGCUGCCAGCCCCUGCCCCCUGCAGCACAACCCACCAUCUCAGCUCCAGUGCAGCAUUUUUGGUCAAAGCUGGAUCAAAUAUUGAUGCUUCAGACCACAGGCAUUGUUAGAGCACACUGACCAUUGUAUACGAUCUGCCUCAUCUCCAAACUGCAAACCAAAUGUGCUACUAGAAGAAAAGUCUGCAGCUGUGACUUACAGAAUAUAUGAUGGAAAUUUGUAGGACUUCUGGGACUGAAAAAUCAGGCUGUGCAGAUCAGUGACCCUGCAGUCACUGCCUGAAGCACCCCAUUACAACUGAGUCACUUGAAGAUUUGAUCUCACAAGUGGUUCUUCACAUGCUCUUGCUUUUCAGCAUGUGCUGCUUUCUCCAGCCAGUUUUCCAUGCUGAGCUUUAUCCCCAUCUUGGUAGCUGGUUAAAAAGACUGAGGCACAGAGAGCUCAGUGCUACAAGCCACAUGGCCUUGACCUUUGCAGAGGAUGUACUCAAGAUUCAUGCUUGGCCAAGAAAGGCCCUGUGCUGCUCAGAAAGAAACAAGAUGAUCCGACAUCUGGGGCGACU
rnacentral:lncRNA from 1 species